rnacentral:rRNA from 1 species
UACGGAGGGUGCGAGCGUUGUCCGGAAUCACUGGGCGUAAAGGGCGCGUAGGUGGCGCGGGAAGUCAACGGUGAAAGUUCGGGGCUCAACCCUGAAUCGGCCGUCGAUACUCCCGGGCUCGAGCACUGUAGAGGCAGAUGGAAUUCCGGGUGUAGCAGUGAAAUGCGUAGAGAUCGGGAGGAACAUCCAUGGCGAAGGCAGCUACCUGGACCAACACGUGACACUGAGGCACGAAAGCGUGGGGAGCCAAACAGG